GUGGGGAAUAUUGGACAAUGGGCGCAAGCCUGAUCCAGCAAUGCCGCGUGAGUGAUGAAGGCCUUAGGGUUGUAAAGCUCUUUUACCCGGGAUGAUAAUGACAGUACCGGGAGAAUAAGCUCCGGCUAACUCCGUGCCAGCAGCCGCGGUAAUACGGAGGGAGCUAGCGUUGUUCGGAAUUACUGGGCGUAAAGCGCGCGUAGGCGGUUACUCAAGUCAGAGGUGAAAGCCCGGGGCUCAACCCCGGAACUGCCUUUGAGACUGGAUUGCUAGAAUCUUGGAGAGGCGAGUGGAAUUCCGAGUGUAGAGGUGAAAUUCGUAGAUAUUCGGAAGAACACCAGUGGCGAAGGCGGCUCGCUGGACAAGUAUUGACGCUGAGGUGCGAAAGCGUGGGGAGCAAACAGGAUUAGAUACCCCAGUAGUCC
rnacentral:rRNA from 1 species